GGUUUAGGGUUUAGGGUUUAGAGUUGAUGUUUUAGGGUUUAGAUUUGAAGGUUUAGGGUUUAGGGUUUAGAGUUGAUGUUUCGAGGUUUAGUGUUUAGAGUUUCGAGUUGAUGUUUCAUGGUUUAGGGUUUAGAUUUGAUGAUUUAGGGUUUAGAUUUGAUUUUAUGUUUAGAUUUAGACUUUAGGGUUUACGUUUAGGGUUUAGAGUUGAGGUUUUAGGGUUUAGAUUUGAAGGUUUAGGGUUUAAAGUUGAUGUUUCGGGGUUUAGGGUUUAGAGGUUAUGUUUCAUGGUUUAGGGUUUAGAGUUGAUGA
rnacentral:lncRNA from 1 species